GUCUGUGAUGCCCUUAGAUGUUCUGGGCCGCACGCGCGCUACACUGAUAAAGCCAGCGAGUAUUCGCCUUGACCGGAAGGUCUGGGUAAUCUUUUGAAACUUUAUCGUGAUGGGGAUUGAGCAUUGCAAUUAUUGCUCAUGAACGAGGAAUUCCUAGUAAGCGCGAGUCAUCAGCUCGCGUUGAUUACGUCCCUGCCCUUUGUACACACCGCCCGUCGAUACUACCGAUUGAAUGGCUUAGUGAGACCUUUGGAUGGAGCUUCUUGCCGCGAGGCGUUGAGGCACCAGAAAUUGUUCAAACUUAUCCAUUUAGAGGAAGUAAAAGUCGUAACAAGGUUUCCGUAGGUGAACCUGCGGAAGGAUCAUUAACAAAUCAUUUGCUCUGGAGGCACCGUUCGCGGACCCCCAUUUGCAAUUUACUCGUCUUGGGGAAGGCCGUCAAGGGUGGCUCUUUCCUCUCCGGAGGUUUGGCCACUAAUACCGAUGCGCUGGACCCUCUUGACACAAUACUUACUUUCACAAUUGACAACUACUGGGAACCGAGUAGACAUGCAUAGCAUGUUUGCUUUAUAACCAAAACAACUUUUAACAAUGGAUCUCUUGGCUCUUGCAACGAUGAAGAACGCAGCGAACUGCGAAACGUAAUGUGACCUGCACUCUUCGUGAAUCAUCCAAUCUUUGAACGCAAUUUGCACCUCGUGGCUUCUUGUCACAAGGUAUACUUGUUUGAGUAUCAUAAACAUCCUCACCUCCCCGAAAGGGCGAAGUGGAUUUGGGGGUUCGUCAACACGCUUAGCUGGUGACGUCCUCUAAAAUGCAAAGCUCGAUUUUGGAAGGUCUCCGUUUGGCUUGACUAGGCUAUUGGGAUAAUAUCCCCUGCAAUCGCCGGUCUUGCCUCCUCGACGUUGACCAUCCUGAGCUAACAAGGAAGCCCUGUUGGCCCGUCAUGGGUCCCCAGCGGUUCCACAUUGUGUUGGUCGGGUAUAAUGCAUACGCGCCGCAUAAUUUUGAUAUUGAUCUCAAAUCAAGUAAGGGUACCCGCUGAACUUAA
rnacentral:rRNA from 1 species